rnacentral:rRNA from 1 species
UACGUAGGGUGCAAGCGUUGUCCGGAAUCACUGGGCGUAAAGGGCGCGUAGGUGGCGCUGCAAGUCGGUGGUGAAAGCUCGCCGCUUAACGGCGAGUCGGCCAUCGAAACUGCAGGGCUCGAGCACUGUAGGGGCUAAUGGAAUUCCGGGUGUAGCGGUGGAAUGCGUAGAGAUCCGGAAGAACACCAGUGGCGAAGGCGGUUAGCUGGGCAGUUGCUGACACUGAGACACGAAGGCCAGGGGAGCAAACGGG